CCUACGGGAGGCAGCAGUAGGGAAUUUUCGGCAAUGGGGGAAACCCUGACCGAGCAACGCCGCGUGAAGGAAGAAGGUUUUCGGAUUGUAAACUUCUGUUAUAAAGGAAGAACGGCGGCUACAGGAAAUGGUAGCCGAGUGACGGUACUUUAUUAGAAAGCCACGGCUAACUACGUGCCAGCAGCCGCGGUAAUACGUAGGUGGCAAGCGUUAUCCGGAAUUAUUGGGCGUAAAGAGGGAGCAGGCGGCAGCAAGGGUCUGUGGUGAAAGCCUGAAGCUUAACUUCAGUAAGCCAUAGAAACCAGGCAGCUAGAGUGCAGGAGAGGAUCGUGGAAUUCCAUGUGUAGCGGUGAAAUGCGUAGAUAUAUGGAGGAACACCAGUGGCGAAGGCGACGAUCUGGCCUGCAACUGACGCUCAGUCCCG
rnacentral:rRNA from 1 species